UCUGACGGAGCAACGCCGCGUGAGUGAUGAAGGCUUUCGGGUCGUAAAACUCUGUUGUUAGGGAAGAACAAGUACGAGAGUAACUGCUCGUACCUUGACGGUACCUAACCAGAAAGCCACGGCUAACUACGUGCCAGCAGCCGCGGUAAUACGUAGGUGGCAAGCGUUAUCCGGAAUUAUUGGGCGUAAAGCGCGCGCAGGCGGUUUCUUAAGUCUGAUGUGAAAGCCCACGGCUCAACCGUGGAGGGUCAUUGGAAACUGGGGAACUUGAGUGCAGAAGAGAAAAGCGGAAUUCCACGUGUAGCGGUGAAAUGCGUAGAGAUGUGGAGGAACACCAGUGGCGAAGGCGGCUUUUUGGUCUGUAACUGACGCUGAGGCGCGAAAGCGUGGGGAGC
rnacentral:rRNA from 1 species